rnacentral:snoRNA from 1 species
CCUAUCUCAAAAGUACCCAGAAUUGGCUGGUGCAAUCCAGUGGUGAGCUGAUAGUAAAUCCAGCUUUUAGGAAACAGGGUUAUUCUUCAUGUGGAUGAUUCUGUGCCGAAAGCAUGGGAACAGCU